AAUUAAGCAUGCUGAUAAACAUAUCAAGUAUCAAAUCCGUUGUUCUUUGCUUGAGAUAUACAAUGAACAAAUAACAGAUUAUUGGAUCCAAAUCAAAGAAACCUGCAGAUCAGAGAAGAUGUAAAAUUUGGCGUCUAUGUUGAGAAUUUGACAGAAUACUGUGUGCACUCAAUGAAGGGAUUGACUAAGCUACUACUAAAGGUUUUUCUUCUUUUUCUUUCUUUUCCUUUUGGCCGAUGCUUUGAUUGCUAAUUUCUUAAUAAUCUUUCAUGAAGAAGAUACUCAAUUUUUAUGUUUAGAAUGCUAAUGCUUUUCUUUUUCUUGAGAGAAAUGGAUUGGACCAUUUAUUCCAGUAAUAAGCUGCUGGACGAAUGAUGUAGGGAUUAUCAAGUAGAAGGACAGGUGCGACUAGUAUCAAUGCUGAAAGUUCUCGUUCCCAUAGUGUUUUAACUUGUGUUAUUGAAUCUCGAUGCAAGAGUGUAGCCAAUGGUGUAAGUUGCUUUAAAACAAGUCGGAUAAAUUUCGUUGAUCUAGCUAGCUCGGAAUUACAAAAGUUAACUGGAUCUAACAAAUGGGUUAGCCUCAAUUGGAUCA